rnacentral:lncRNA from 1 species
AAAAAAAAAAUAAGCUGGGGGUGCAGAAGCAUCCUUCGGGCCCAGAUCCAGAAAAGUUCCCCUGCCCCAUCUUCCUUCCUCUGAGGAGCUCACCAACUACUGGAUAAUUCAGGUGAGACAGAGGUGAAGUGGUGUUGCUCUUGUUACCAUAUCCAAUUCAAAACAGCCUCAGCUAGCAGCAGACUGCUUGUAUUUAUCAGGAAAUGCUGGUCCCCUUGCUUUACCACCUGGUUAUUCAAACAUCUAGAGCAACAAUUUCCAUACACUCCAUUAGGAAUCCUCCUCAAUUCAAAUAAGCUGCUGCUAGAGAUCCUUUUUCCGUGAGCUGGAGGUUUGGUUGAAGAUUAUCAAGUCUUCCAGGAAAGAAAGGGCAAGUGAUGAUGGGUUCAUACGAAUGUCCCAAACUUGCUCCCAUUCUAUAGUUAAAUGCUAGGUGAAGGCUAAGUCUACAACAGGCUAAAUAAUUAAUCUUCAAAUUAAGGUUUCUAUGGCUCUCUUUGGUCUGCAGAGUGCAUGAUGAUCUAGGAACUGUCAAAGUGAAUUGUUCAUGCCUGGUGGACACCUCAGCACCAGUCUUGGAUUCCCUAAAUCUAAUUAGCCUGUGGAAUAUCCAAAUAACUCAAGCAGAAAUUUAUUGACUUAACAAACACUUUUGUGAGUAGCUUUUGCAGGCCACAGAUUGUGCUAGCCUUUGAUCAUGGGAAUUCCUGAAUCAUUUCUCAUCUGGGUCUUCCUAAGAAGACGUGGCUCUAAGAAGCUCUUAACCUCUUAAAUCAUCCUAGGUCUCCCUAGAAACUCAAAUUCUUCAGCUACGACUCCCCCCACCUGGGUAAGACUCUCCCUCGGAAAGCCACAAAGAGAAGGAGGAGGACCUGGAAUCCCUUUUUCCCUUGAGCCAACUCCCCACACUGAGCUCCUGAGAGCCCCUGAAGAAGCCUCUCUUGGCUGUGACUGCAUCCUGGGUUCUGCUUCCUUUGGGAGGAUCUGGUUUAAUGACCUGCCUCUGGGACUUCACAAAGGGGCAGUCACUGCUUCACAGUAUUAUGGAGGCCGCAUGUUCUUUCCCUCUGCUGAUGUUGUUUCAGGUGUUUCUAGGAGGGCAUUACCUUCAUUCAACAUUCCCGAUGGCUUCAGUUAUCCACUGCUGUAUAACAAACUACCCCAAAACUCAGUGGCUUAAAACAAAGAUUUAUUAUUUCUCACAAUUCUGGGGGUUGGCUGGGCUCAGCUGAGCAGUUCUUCGGCUCUGUACUGAGUUGCUCAAGGUCACUUGUGUGGCUGCAUUUAGUUGGGAGCUUUAGUUGGAAUUUAGAUGGAACACACAAGAUGGCUUCACUUACAUGUCUGGCACCUCAGCUGGGGUGGCUUGAGGAGCAGGGAGCUGGUUGAGCGCUCCCUCUCCACAGAGUCUCUCAUCAUUUAGCAGUCUGGCUUGAGCUUACUUACACGGUGGCUGAAUCCCAAUAGGC